rnacentral:RNase_P_RNA from 1 species
GCGGGGGGCUGGAUGAUCGCGGGCAGCGAUGCCCGAGGAAAGUCCGGACUCCCUGAAGGAACGGUGCCGGGUAACGCCCGGCGGGGGCAACCCCAGGGAAAGCGCCACAGAAAACAGACCGCCCCGGCAGGCCCGGGGUAAGGGUGAAACGGUGGAGUAAGAGCCCACCGCGGGACGGGCAACCGGACCGGCACGGCAAGCCCCACCGGGAGCAAUGCCAAAUAGGAACGUCGCAUGGGCCCCUUCAGCCUUGAUGUUCGGGUUGGCAGCUAGAGGUGUGUUGGUAACAGCAGGCCAAGAUGAAUGAUCAUCCAAAGGUGGCAAACCUUGGACAGAAUCCGGCUUACAGGCCCCCCGCGCGU